rnacentral:rRNA from 1 species
GAUGAACGCUGGCGGCGUGCUUAACACAUGCAAGUCGAACGAAGCAUUUGCGACAGAUUUUUUCGGAAUGAAGUUGCUUAUGACUGAGUGGCGGACGGGUGAGUAACGCGUGGGUAACCUGCCUUGUACUGGGGGAUAGCAGCUGGAAACGUCUGGUAAUACCGCAUAAGCUCACAAUGUUUCAUGACAUGGUGUGAAAAACUCCGGUGGUAUAAGAUGGACCCGCGUCUGAUUAGCUAGUUGGGGAGAUAACAGCCCACCAAGGCGACGAUCAGUAGCCGACCUGAGAGGGUGACCGGCCACAUUGGGACUGAGACACGGUCCAGAAUCCUACGGGAGGCAGCAGUGGGGAAUAUUGCAAAAUGGAGGAAACUAUGAUGCAGCGACGACGCGUGAGUGAAGAAGUAAUUCGUUAUGUAAAGCUCUAUCAGCAGGGAAGAUAGUGACGGUACCUGACUAAGAAGCUCCGGCUAAAUACGUG